rnacentral:rRNA from 1 species
UACGGGGGGGGCAAGCGUUGUUCGGAAUUACUGGGCGUAAAGGGCUCGUAGGCGGCCAACUAAGUCAGACGUGAAAUCCCUCGGCUUAACCGGGGAACUGCGUCUGAUACUGGAUGGCUUGAGUUUGGGAGAGGGAUGCGGAAUUCCAGGUGUAGCGGUGAAAUGCGUAGAUAUCUGGAGGAACACCGGUGGCGAAGGCAGCUCGCUGGGACGGUACUGACGCUGAGGCGCGAAAGCGUGGGGGAGCAAAACAGGAUUGAGAA